GUACACUUGUUUAUUCCAUGUGUAACUCUGUGUUGUUGUUUGUGUCACACUGCUUUGCUUUAUCUUGGCCAGGUCGCAGUUGUAAAUGAGAACUUGUUCUCAGCUAGCUUACCUGGUUAAAUAAAGGGGAAAUAAAAAAUAAAAUAAAAAACUCAAACACACAUGCAAACAACACUCACACAAACUACGCUGACACGCAAACUACGCUCACAUGUAACCUACGCUCACACACAAACUACGCUCAUGUGCAAAUUACGCUCACACACAAACUACACUCACACACAAACUAUACUCAAAUUAUGUUCACACAAAUUACGGUCACAUACAAACUAAUCUCACACACAAACUACAUUUACACAAACUUGCUCACACACAAACUAUGCUCACACACAAUGUUUGGUUGCACCAGCACCUUGUUUGCACUCUGCACUUGGUCUCUUUCUUCACUCACACUCCUCUCCAGUCUGUGGAAUCUUCCUUUGUGGCUGUGUUAUCUAGUGGAAACCUUCCUCUCCUGCCUGCCUCAUGAGAGAACAUUUUUCAUUGAAACAAGGAUUAAGAAGAUGAAAUGAUCUGCUGCUGGUACCCAAGGCCAAAGGAUACCGAAGCUCCUGAAAAGGUUAGUCAGGCAGUUUGUGAUUAUGCUAGUGAUUAUUCACAAAUGUUUGUGGCACAAAUUUCACUGUCUUUAAAGUAGAAAAAAAACUUUGAGUUCCUCCACAAAGCAGUCUACACAGACAAUAUGAACACAUUUGUUCAACCAUAACAGAUGGCUGGCUAAUACAGAAAGAGAGAAUUGAUGGAUUCUAGCACCACAAUAACUUUCACAAAUACAAAGAGAGGCAGCCAUCAUGGUCAGUCUAUUUUGACUAUGUAGUGCAUAGUAACACCUACUGAUAUGAACUGGUAAUGGAGGUUUGGUUAGAAAAGAUUGCCAUAGAAUACGUGACAUUCAAUGAAAUCUACUUAAUGAAAGUGGGGGAUAUUAUUUUCAAUUAAAAUGUUGCAAGUAUUUGAUUUAAGGGUUGAAUAUAUGGAUUUUACUGGAAAUCCAAUGCCAAUGAACCAACCUCUGGUGGGCCAGAUGGAUACCAGGACAACAAUACAAAGUAAGUGGUUUUAUGACUUACACAUUUGUUGCAAAGUCUACUGUGUAUAGUGUUAAAUGUAACCGUUUGUAACGGCCGUCGUAGGAAGUGGACCAAGGCGCAGCGGGUUGAGUGCUCAUUUUAACUUUUAAUAAAAAACACUGAAAAUACAAAAACAAGAAACCGCACGAACGACAAACAGUAAUGCAGGCUACUCACAGCAAUGCACAAACAGCC
rnacentral:lncRNA from 1 species